rnacentral:rRNA from 1 species
GAGUUUGAUCUUGGCUCAGAUUGAACGCUGGCGGCAUGCCUUACACAUGCAAGUCGAACGGCAGCAUGAUCUAGCUUGCUAGAUUGAUGGCGAGUGGCGAACGGGUGAGUAAUACAUCGGAACGUGCCCUGUAGUGGGGGAUAACUAGUCGAAAGAUUAGCUAAUACCGCAUACGACCUGAGGGUGAAAGUGGGGGACCGCAAGGCCUCAUGCUAUAGGAGCGGCCGAUGUCUGAUUAGCUAGUUGGUGGGGUAAAGGCCCACCAAGGCGACGAUCAGUAGCUGGUCUGAGAGGACGAUCAGCCACACUGGGACUGAGACACGGCCCAGACUCCUACGGGAGGCAGCAGUGGGGAAUUUUGGACAAUGGGGGCAACCCUGAUCCAGCAAUGCCGCGUGUGUGAAGAAGGCCUGG